rnacentral:lncRNA from 1 species
GAGUUGUGAGAUCUUUCGAGAUUUCAAGGCUUCUUAGGACUUAUCUUUUAAUUUCUUACUGUCAAUUCUUUCUUUAUUUCUACUUGUGCUGAAUCAUUAUCAAAUCUAUUUUCUGUUCUUAUUGUGUUUUCAGCCUUUUUCUAUCUUAAGGAAUCAGCCCAAAAAUCCCCAAUUUCUAGGGUUUUUCUAUACUCUUUUUGGAUGAAAUUAGAUUGUCGAAAUUUGGGGAAAACUAUCUUGGUGUUCAAUUGGGCAGAAUCACAAUCUCCUUGAGGGUUUCAAGAACCCUAACACUUAUUUCUAUUCUCUAUUUGAUUCUUUACUGUUUUGGGGAUUUUAUUUCAGAUCUGAAAAUUCAAAAAUCUAAUCUUUUAAUUUUCUGUUUUCGUUUCAGAUCUAAUUGUUUAGGGUUUUUGUAGGAGUUUCCCGUGACUUGGCAACUCGAUCUUGGUCCGCG